UACGAAGGGGGCUAGCGUUGUUCGGAUUUACUGGGCGUAAAGCGCACGUAGGCGGAUCGAUCAGUCAGGGGUGAAAUCCCAGAGCUCAACUCUGGAACUGCCUUUGAUACUGUCGAUCUGGAGUAUGGAAGAGGUGAGUGGAAUUCCGAGUGUAGAGGUGAAAUUCGUAGAUAUUCGCAAGAACACCAGUGGCGAAGGCGGCUCACUGGCCCGGUACUGACGCUGAGGUGCGAAAGCGUGGGGAGCAAACAGG
rnacentral:rRNA from 1 species